rnacentral:misc_RNA from 1 species
UGUGUUUCCUAAGAUAGUGCAGGAG